AACAGAUCAGGCCGUCGCUCCCAUAGGUCUCCAUCGGACGCUGCCCUUCCCAACCGCAGUAGCAUGCAGCAUCCCCAACUGCCUCUCUUCCUAAUCCUCUUUCUAUAUGAGUCUUAUCUUUGGGACAUUUUUGCCUCCAGUCUUUCAUCCACGCUGGAAUCGAUCUGAAAAAACUAGGUAUGACUUACGACAUGAUCCAACCCACCCUCUACUACUGUUAGGACCGAAUCUGUCCAAUAUGGUUGAUGCAUCGGAGGAGGUGUACCAUGUACCACAACAGUUUGAAGCAGAUUGUGCUGAUCACUCCUGCGUCCCGUUAGCACGCAAGUAACUGGGUAUCCUUGAAUUUCCUGAUUUGGAUAAUUUCUACUCCUAAAGUUUAUCUCUAAUACUCUGUCCAGAAGGUUGGUGCUAGCUCUGGAAUUUUGAAAGGCUGAUUUGUGGCAAGUGUGUGUACGUAAACUUGGAUUUGUGGUGAUUUUGUAAGGCUGAUGAUGAUGGCGGAUGAUAUAGGCUGAUUUAUUUCCAUCCGCUAUGAGGCACUUCUGCCUGGCCGUUUCCUAUGCCAUAAUCCCAGCUGCUUAGUGUGUACCUCUCAAUGGCCCAGCGGGAACAACCAUGACCACGUACCUGUUGGGGACAACCUCUCGGCGACUCCAAUGUUCGAUUACAAUCUCUCUACUAGGUAUACCUCAAGUACCAUAGAUCAUGAAGUGUGGCAUCAAGAACUCAGCACACUGCAGGAGAAGACCAUGAAGAUCAGCAAGGAAGUGUUGCAUGUAUCAUGAAGGUUGGUCAAGAAGGUGCGAGACUGCUGCUACUUAAAGGCCAGCGUGGCCUGCAACCACUAAGAAGACACCCACCAUGCAUGUUCCUUGCAAGCAGAAGCAACAUGACUUUGCCGUCAAUAAGAUAACAAGGAUCAAAUCGAUCACCAUCUACAUGUGUUACUACUCUCAGCAGAGUGGAAUAAAUGUUUGUAAAGUAACCUUUUCUCUGGCCGGUUCAAAUCAUCCCUCCUACGUUUAGUCGUUUACCUGUUGGACAUGCUCACCAUGUGUUUGAAAUAAUGCUUAGAGAAAUUGCUAUACCUGUGUUAUUUUCUAUUCAGAUGAUUCCCGUGAUUUAUACUUUUACAAGGAAAACAUUAUAUAUAAGCAUCGGAUAUAUCCUUUGAAUCAAUGCACGAGGUCCUGAAUUUAAUUUAGGAUAUGGUGAAAUACAUGGUAUAUUAUCCAACAGUAGGUAUUGUUGCGCCGAUCGAUAUCUUUUCUAUACAUACAUGCUAUAUGUUAUGCAGAUUUUACCGCUGGAAGUAAAUUAUUGUAUAGAUUCUGUAUACUAAUUAAGUACCAGUACCUUUUGUGUUGCAUGCAGAUUAAAAAAAUUGUGUACUGGCCAUUGUUUUCUUAUAGACCCUCAUCUAUCAUAUUUUCUGCUACAAAUUUGGUGCAGGUAAGUCCAUAGUUCUGUGGAUACCACAUCGGCAUGUCCAGAAUUAUUAAUUUGUAUUCUUUCAGCACCCACAUGGUCUAGAAAGACAUGUUUACAUUUUAGUUCUAUUUCUUUCCAACUUACAUGAAUGAAU